AGAAUAAAAUAGAAACACAUGGAUUUGCUGUUCUCCUAUUCAUUUCUACUAUCUGAUCCAAAAUUACUAAAAUGAUUCUUAAGCUACUAUUCUACAUUCUUCAGUAGUAUAGCACUGAGGGCUCAGGGCAUUGGUCAUCAGUGUUCAUAGGACAGGUGCAAACUGUAGAGGAACACAUUGCAGAGGGGUGUGUGAGUUUAAGUGAAAUUGUCAACUCCCCAUUAAUGUCAAUGUAGUCUACCAUUAAAGAUAACGGAUGGACGUUCUAUUCUGGAGUUUUUGGAACAUCUGCGGACAGUUGGAGGUCAUGGGAUGGAUGGCAAAGGAAGGACGCGCGCAAGGUAACUGAGCUGAGCAGGCUAUUAUUUUCCGGUCGAUGCGCACAGCCCGGACAGCCAUUGGUCAGCUCUGCCAGAAAAGGGGAGGUACUCGAGUCCAGAAAUCUUUGCAGAAAAUCUCCAGACUGAAGGACGGCAAAAAGGGUGACGGCGGACAAGGACGCUUUUAACAUGUUCUACAUCCAUACUUUACAGCCUGAUGUGUGUUUUUCUAAAUAGUUUUCUGGGGUUAUAGUGAACUUAAUCCGAAGAUGACGAAAUAUCGGGCUGCCAGUACUGCGAAAGCAGAGAGUUUAUUGGUCGUCCCAGACCAGCAUAACUUGUCGUUUUCACGCAGUUAACUUUUUACCUUUUCGUGGAUGCGGUAAGUAGUCUACACUGUGUCCAAAGUAAUCGAGGAUAGCUUUUGGAAGAGGCGCAACUUCGCCUAUUUCUCCUUUUCUUUCUCCACGGAGAAAAAAAAUAUUCCCGGCUGUUCCCUUGGGAUGUAAUUGCGUUCCCAGGCAAGUUCAAUGGCUCUGUAAGACUCAGAGAAUAGCAAGCCAUUCAUGGCUGGGACAAAAACCCACUUAUUUUAUUAUGUAGACAAGACUAUCAUUGUAUCUUUAGAAACAAAUUUAAAUCAAGUACAAUUACAUGUGGAUAAAUAUAUUGACUGUUAAACUCAAAAAUGGCACCAUUAUUCAGGAGUCAAUAGGGUGCUACAGUAGUUAUAGCAACAGUAGUUAAAGGGACUCUGCAAGACUGCAAACAUGAAGCAUCUGUACCCCCAAGUUAUAGACGGCUCUGCUACUACUUAUUUUAGUUAUACCUCCAAAUGUGUCUAUAUAACACUUGGCAUCGUAUAUUUUGGCAUGACAUGAUUUUUCACCUCUAAAGAUUGAUAGUUGUACUGUAAGUGUUAGUGGUUUUGUUUAAUGGGGUUGUAAAGGGAAGGUCUUUCUUUGUGAAAGAGCCUAUUUGUGUUGAUCUAAACUUUCCUUCUGUCUGAGGGGUCUCUGGCUCAGCUCAGCUCACAGGACCGUUCCCAUGGAGAUGAUAGGAUCACUUCCUGUCUCAGAACAGGCCAGGUCAUGGAGUUUAUGCUGGACCGGGAGUGAAGAAAUGGAAGCUUUUCCUUCAUUAAGACUCUAGAGGGCGUCCUGUCUCCAUGGUUUACUUCUUCUGAGGCAGUGUUGAAUAUGCAGUAGUAAUGCCUUCCCUUUCAAUUCACCACAAAAGGCCUUCUGCUCCUCCCCCUUCUUCUCAGAGCAGAGCAAGCAGGCCCAUUGCCCUAGCGAUUCCACACAGACACAGUGUGUACACAUGCUGCUCCAGAGCCAGUACUGUUCUUCCUUCCGACAAGUACGCCUCUCAACUUUGUUCAUUUACACAAUGUCCUUUGUUUACAUUUGCUUAUAAAUGUUCUAAACUCACCAAAAACUAUAUUUGGUAGCUCCUACCUAUAUAUGUAUAACUUUGUGUUGGAUUGCCUCUGCGCUCGUUAAACAUAUUUAGCUAGCAGCCUCAAUGGAAAUUCGCUAUUAUUUGUGCUAAUUUUGUUAGCAUUCUGGUAAUAGACACCGAAUGGGCUUUUUUUUGCGUUUUUUGGCCGGUAAUACCAUAAAACCUGGAAUGAGAAGACGGUAUGACAAUAUGAGAAAAUAUGGAUACUGCCCAACCAUAGUGGAAACCCUCGAUGGCGCUGCCAUUGCUAACAUGCUUUUGGCCACUAGAGGCCUCUAUCAUUCUCUGCUUGCAAAUCACACAUUGCAUCGGAAGUACCAUAGAAUUACUGCCAUAUAUAUAUGAUCCAGAAUGACUAUAGGCUUGAUUCCACAUUGAACACUGCUUCUCUUCCCUUGAUGACUCACUCUUGCAGGUCUUAAAAGACUGCAGAGGUGUUGGCAUGGUGAUAGUUCCAGCUAUUCAAAUAGGGUGAAGUUGAGAGUUUCUGUGUUAGUGUGUACUUUUAAUAACAGUAAAUAUGUGUCAUUUGUUUGAUCUAACAAAUGUUUUCUAUUGGUGCAAAUGUUCAAUGUAUUUUGAAUAUGAUGAAUAAAGGCUAUUCUUCACCACAA